GGCACAUCCGCCGCCCUCAACAUCUGCCAAGUUAAAUGGCUGCAUGAAGCCACCUCUCAGCACUAUGAAGAGUUCACGUACGAAAGAUAAGUGCUACUUAUGUCACAGAUACACCGAUGUAAAAAAUCUGGAGUUGUUGAAGGCUGGAUCCAAUCAGGCUUUAUGUGACAGAAGGCAGGCAGCAUUCAGGUGCCUCUGGGAUUUGUAGUCCACAGUCACAGCCAACAUCCUAAUGACCAUUGUCCCAUCCUGGAAAAGGAUGACCAUCUCAAGGCAGCCUUUGAGGACAAACCCGUCUUGUUUUACAGAUAGCCCCCCCCAAUGUCAAAUGGCAUCCCUUACACAACAGACUAAUGAACUCCCAUUCUCACCAAGGCACCCUUGUAAUGGAUCCAAAUGCCUACUGUGUCCCCACAGCAAUAGACCACAUCAUUACCAGACCUAAUAAUAAGGAAUACAACAUCUGAGGUUCUUUCACCUGCAACUCUACCAAUGUCAAAUAUGCCAUCACUGCUUACAAUGCUCUUCUGCUGUCUACAUCAGACACACAAGGUGAUAUCUAUGUGUAAGAAUGAAUGAAUGCUGAUCUGGAAUCAGCUGCAGAAAGACUCAAAAGCUUGUGGCAGAACACUUCAACCCUCUG